GACGAACGCUGGCGGCGUGCUUAACACAUGCAAGUCGAACGGAAAGGCCCUGCUUUCGUGGGGUGCUCGAGUGGCGAACGGGUGAGUAACACGUGAGUAACCUGCCCUUGACUUUGGGAUAACUUCAGGAAACUGGGGCUAAUACCGGAUAGGAGCUCCUGCUGCAUGGUGGGGGUUGGAAAGUUUCGGCGGUUGGGGAUGGACUGGCGGCUUAUCAGCUUGUUGGUGGGGUAGUGGCUUACCAAGGCUUUGACGGGUAGCCGGCCUGAGAGGGUGACCGGGCACAAUGGGACUGAGAUACGGACCAGAGUCCAACAGGAGGCAGCAGUGGGGAGUAUUGCACAAUGGGCGGAAGUGUGAUGCAGCAGCGCUGCGUGCGUGAUGACGUCCUUCGGGUUGUAAACCGCUUUCGCCUGUGACGAAGCGUGAGUGACGGUAAUGGGUAAAGAAGCACCGGCUAACUACGUG
rnacentral:rRNA from 1 species